rnacentral:rRNA from 1 species
AUUGAACGCUGGCGGCAGGCCUAACACAUGCAAGUCGAGCGGAUGAGUGGAGCUUGCUCCAUGAUUCAGCGGCGGACGGGUGAGUAAUGCCUAGGAAUCUGCCCUGGUAGUGGGGGACAACGUUUCGAAAGGAACGCUAAUACCGCAUACGUCCUACGGGAGAAAGCAGGGGACCUUCGGGCCUUGCGCUAUCAGAUGAGCCUAGGUCGGAUUAGCUAGUAGGUGAGGUAAUGGCUCACCUAGGCGACGAUCCGUAACUGGUCUGAGAGGAUGAUCAGUCACACUGGAACUGAGACACGGUCCAGACUCCUACGGGAGGCAGCAGUGGGAAUAUUGGACAAUGGGCGAAAGCCUGAUCAGCCAUGCCGCGUGUGUGAAGAAGGUC